AGAGGACCCAAGGUUGGUUCCCAUCACCCAUGUCAGGAAGCCACAACCACCUGAAACUCCAGCUCCAGAGAAUCUGAUACUCUCUUCUGGCCUCUUCGGGAAGACAGACAGACAGACAGACACACACAGACACACAGACACACAAAGCAUGAAUCAGUGUCAGAAGAGUUGUUGAGAAGAUGUAGCCUUUGUUUUCUAGUGUGUGCUCCAUGUGUUUCUGAUUUCUCUCGAUGGCUCAACCUAGAAACGCCUGAGGAAGAAAGGCAGUCGGGAUGUGUUCUUCCUACAAGUCCGGAAUCUGACAGUUUGAAGACAAGCAAUU
rnacentral:lncRNA from 1 species